UACGAAGGGGGCUAGCGUUGCUCGGAAUCACUGGGCGUAAAGGGUGCGUAGGCGGGUCUUUUAAGUCAGGGGUGAAAUCCUGGAGCUCAACUCCAGAACUGCCUUUGAUACUGAAGAUCUUGAGUUCGGGAGAGGUGAGUGGAACUGCGAGUGUAGAGGUGAAAUUCGUAGAUAUUCGCAAGAACACCAGUGGCGGAAGGCGGCUCACUGGCCCGAUACUGACGCUGAGGCACGAAAGCGUGGGG
rnacentral:rRNA from 1 species